GCGGGAGUAGCUCAAUUGGCUAGAGCGACAGCCUUCCAAGCUGUAGGUUACGGGUUCGAGUCCCGUUUCCCGCUCCA
rnacentral:tRNA from 1 species